UACGUAGGUGACCAGCGUUGUCCGGAUUACUGGGCGUAAAGAGCGCGCAGGCGGUCGUUCAAGUCGAGUGUGAAAGCCCCCGGCUCAACUGGGAGGGUCACUCGAUACUGAUCGACUUGAAGGCAGGAGAGGGAAGCGGAAUUCCCGGUGUAGUGGUGAAAUGCGUAGAUAUCGGGAGGAACACCGUGGCGAAGGCGACGUCCUGGACCGGCAUUGACGCUGAGGCGCGAAAGCCAGGGGAGCAAACGGG
rnacentral:rRNA from 1 species